UCUCUCCCUCCCUCCCUCCCUCUGCUAUUCUGAGUCUCACACUUAUCAUAUGUAAUAAUAUGAGUCUAAUGUGAAGGUUUCUUGCCCUCUCAAACUGUUGCAGACACAUGAUAAUGGAGCUUAGCGUGUGGAGGAAAGUGAUGAACACGUAAAGCAUAUUUUUCCUCUCCCCAACGAGUGCCAGAUGGAUAUUCACUGAUAACUUCAUCAUCUGGGAAGAGAACAGCUGUCCUGGAUUUUGUAAGGAACCAUGCAAAGAAUUCCAGAUCAAACCUCCAAUCAACAUCAGCCGGUAGAAAACUUGCAAGAGUCUGUCAUGAAGUUGCAACAGAGAAUCCAGCAGCACAUGGAGAGAAAAGCGGGCACAAAGGGGCUGGAACCCCAGAGAGCAGCUAAUGAUUCACAUUUCAUAUCCCCCCACACAGGGGCCCUUGUGUCUACCAUGAGGGGCCUCUUCGAGCGUUUGUUUUCACUGUGAAAUCCAAAAUAAAUGGGAGCCGCAGAUGAGGACUGGACACUUGAGAAAUUGAAAUCAUGAAGUCCGUAAGAAAAACGCUAAAAACCCU